UACGUAGGGUGCAAGCGUUAAUCGGAAUUACUGGGCGUAAAGCGUGCGCAGGCGGCUUUGCAAGACAGAUGUGAAAUCCCCGGGCUCAACCUGGGAACUGCAUUUGUGACUGCAUGGCUGGAGUGCGGCAGAGGGGGAUGGAAUUCCGCGUGUAGCAGUGAAAUUCGUAGAUAUCGGGAGGAACACCGGUGGCGAAGGCGGCCAUCUGGAUCAACACUGACGCUGAGGCACGAAAGCGUGGGGAGCAAACAGG
rnacentral:rRNA from 1 species